rfam:Asian citrus Psyllid, Diaphorina citri - Florida Strain, whole genome shotgun sequence.
CCACGGUUAGCCCAGUGGUAAAGCGCUUGCUUGCCAUGCAGGAGGUCCCGGGUUCGAAUCCCACCAUCGA